GACGAACGCUGGCGGCGUGCCUAAUACAUGCAAGUUGAGCGAUGAAGAUUGGUGCUUGCACCAAUUUGAAGAGCAGCGAACGGGUGAGUAACGCGUGGGGAAUCUGCCUUUGAGCGGGGGACAACAUUUGGAAACGAAUGCUAAUACCGCAUAACAACUUUAAACAUAAGUUUUAAGUUUGAAAGAUGCAAUUGCAUCACUCAAAGAUGAUCCCGCGUUGUAUUAGCUAGUUGGUGAGGUAAAGGCUCACCAAGGCGAUGAUACAUAGCCGACCUGAGAGGGUGAUCGGCCACAUUGGGACUGAGACACGGCCCAAACUCCUACGGGAGGCAGCAGUAGGGAAGCUUCGGCAAUGGACGAAAGUCUGACCGAGCAACGCCGCGUGAGUGAAGAAGGUUUUCGGAUCGUAAAACUCGGUUGGUAGAGAAGAACGUUGGUGAGAGUGGAAAGCUCAUCAAGUGACGGUAACUACACAGAAAGGGACGGCUAACUACGUG
rnacentral:rRNA from 1 species